rnacentral:lncRNA from 1 species
GGCUUCCUGGUGCCAAUUUCAGAUAAAGAGCAUACAUCCUUCAUUCAUCUAUGAGGCAGCAAACCCUUCAAGGGCUAAACUAUUUCCUCCUCCUGUUGGUCAGAUGCCCCACCCUCCCAGCCUAGUACAGGAUCUGGCCAACAGCAGACCAUCAGUGGAUGUGUGCUGAGGAAAUAAACUUGCCUAACAAACGAUUUAAACUCCUCUCUUAUAAAUCCUAACUCUGCAUCUGACCAAGGUUCAUAGGCUAGAUUUAGAGUUGUCCAGUAAUUGUAUAGAAUUUCAACAUUACCGGGUAAUUAAUAAGCAUCUGUCCAGUUCUUAAGAUUAUUAUAUGGAAGAAUAAAUGUAAGUUUUAACAAAUUUAUCUUCCUUAAUUAUUGUAAAUGCACAGAUUUAUGGAUAUAAUGGGUAUAAAGCAUCUAACCAACUGUUAAUAUCUAUCAUAAAAAUACAUUUGACUAAGGAAUAAUAGCAUUGAAAGUCAUAGACGACCUUAAAGAGGCAAUUUCACUGUCAGUAUGUAUUUCAUGGAGCACAGCCAUUAAAACUACUCUGCAGUGAAUGAUUAGGGAAAUCAGUUACAUUAAUUUAGGAAGAUUCAAAUGCUACUCACAUUCAUAAAACCUCUAAUGGGACAGCACAUUCUUCCAACAAAGCAGGGGUCAUAAUCACAUGGGUUCUGUACCUGCACACCUAGGUCUUGGCUACAGUAAAAUUGCUCCUAUCUGAUGCUCAGUCCAUGCUCAUAGAGUCAAAACUGUGGCAAAGCUCAGAGUUCCCAUUGCCUCAGCAGGUUAAGAAGCCGACACAGUGUCUGUGAAGAUGCAGGUUCAAUCCCUGGCCUUGCUCAAUGGGUUAAGAAUCUGGGGUUGCCACAAGUUGAGGAAUAGGUUAAAGAUGUGGCUUGGAUCUGGUGUUGCUGUGGCUGUAGGCUGGCAGCUGCAGCUGACUGAACCCCUAGCCCAGAAAUUUCCAUAUGCCACAUGUGCGGCCAUAAAAAUUUAAAUAGAUGUUUUUUAACUUUAAAAAGACUAUGGCAGAGCAAAUAAUUCUAACGGAAGUGGAUGCUUCUCAAAAUUUACUACCAUUUCACCCCUAACACAUCACUACCCAACCCCUGGGAAUAAUCAUCAUUUUUUGGUCAAGAUGAAAAUGAAAGCAAGCUUUUAAAUGGCUAUUUUGUUUAGAUUUUCUGAGACUGGAGCAAAGAUGCCAAUAAAACCCCAUUAAGGCAGGUCUAUCUCUAAUGUAAGUAAUAUCUUCUCAGUUGAAAACUGAAGAUCAUUCUCCCUGAACAGCAAGAAGGCAGUCAAUGGAAAGUCCUUGCUGAUGGAGCAAAUGGGUAUAAUGGAACCUGUUAAAAAAGUGGGGUUCACAUUGUGGCACAGCAGAAACGAAUCUGACUAGGAACCAUGAGGUUGCAGGUUCAAUCCCUGGCCUUGCUCAGUGGGUUAAAGUUCCGGCAUUGCCAUGAGCUGUGGUAUAGGUUGCAGAUGCGGAUCGAAUCCUGCAUUGCUGUGGCUCUGGCAUAGGCCGGCGGCUACAGCUCCAAUUCGACCCCUAGCCUGAAGAACCUCCAUAUGCCAUGGGUGCAGCCCUAAAAAAAAAAUCCCCAAAGUGAUACAGGAAGAUAAACAUACCGGUAGUACUAAGCUCACAGCUAGGGAUGAAGAAAUCCCUGAAAGAGUUUUGAGCUGAUGGCCUCACACCUUGCAAUAUUUUUUCAAUAUGGCUAUGAUGUGCCAUUUUCUAUCACGUGCUCCAGAAUAUGCCAGCCCCAAAGUAUCCAACCCCCUGACCUGAGAGAAGGGGCUGGGAGGUUUGGAGGAAGGGACCAGGCCUUGUUGUUCUGACAUGUCCCAUAAACCUGUGUGGAGUUCAGGGUAGGGUAAACUGCGUGGUUUUUGGAAUCUGAGGAGAUUGUAAGAAACAGCAGCUCAAGGGACUGUUAGACCAAGCCUGGUCUGCAAAAUAAGGACGAUUCCUAGAGGGAAAAUACAGGCAAGACUUAAGACAUGAGCACUGUGUGCUCCACAGCAGUGCAGCAGGAUGUUCAGAUAGGAGACCCCAGGGCCUGUGGCCUGAUAUAUGAGGCACAGGGUUCUCCCUCACAGCACACACCCUCUCCCCAAAGUUCCAGCUCCUACUAAGAAGUUACAAGUGUCUAAAUAGGUUAGAAUAAAAAUAAAAUCUAGUAAUUAUAAGCAUAAAUUUAUAUUUCUAAGUUUCUAUCAAGAUAAAAACAAAAAUAAAUAAAUUAUGAUGGUAACCUGUUAACAACCACAUCAGAUAUCUGAUUAUACCCACCACCACCCCCUCCACCCAAACACUCCCUCCCCAUCUCCUCUUUAUAGCUCCAUCAUUUAAGUUUAUAUAAGCUCAGAAAUUCUUGGAGCAGCAGAGCUUUCUCAUAUUCUGAAAUUUCCCCAAGAAAAAGCAAACAUAGACUCUCAAGAGCUACUACAAAUGGCAUGAAUCCCCAGGCUCCUGCUGUGUUGACAAAAUUCUGCAGGCGCAAAUGGACUUCGUCAGAAAGAGCCCUGGUUACUAUAAUUCUUUAAUAGUGACAUUUUUCAAUCAUAUAUCAUGUUGACCACCAAGUUCCUCUGACAGGAGAGAAUUCUGAUAGUAAACUGUUUCAGCCACUCUGGGGGUGGGAAGAGGGAAACAAACACAAAACACAAAAGCCUGCACAGCAAUACAGCCCAAAAGGUUGACUUUUCAUUUACUUCUAUCUCUGGAUAGAAGAGCACUAUAAGCUCCAGCAUUAAAUUUUAAACAUUUAAUGCUGGAGGAUCAAGCAGAAGCUGCAGAAGUGUUCAGAGUCAUCGACCACUGGUCUUGCUGUGAAUUUUCAGCAAGGAAAAGAAGGGUCCUGCUUGAAGAGAAUGCAACAUUGGCCAGAACGUAAAGCAUCUAUUUCUGGAGAUCUGUAAAAUACCAUUAACCGAUUUUAGUUUAGAAUAUAUAGACAUGUGACCCUCAAGAAGGUCAAUACUCACUAGACUAUGAUUUGCUGUAGUGACAGAAGCUAAAUCUUAUUUUAACUACCACUCAAAGAUGGAAAGGACUGUGAUUUCUUUGAAAUUGCUAUGGUUAGAAUGAAAUACACUUAAUAUAGCAAGUUAAUAAUGCAGUAUUUCACAUUAAAUGAAGUUAUAAUGGGUCUUUUAUAGUCAGGCAUUGUGCCUGAUAAAUUGUUGACAUGAUAAAUAUAGAAUAAUAACCCAAAAUGUCUUUUUGCUCUCUUAGUCCUUCAAAUGAAAGCAAUCUGAAUCACUUACUCUUGUGACUAUAAUACAAAUUUUUGGUUUUCUAGCAGAAGGUCCUUCUCUGUAACUGUACAGACUGGUACAUAAAAAAUUAGUCUUGGAAAGAAAAAGAAUAGUGAUAUCAAUCAUUAAAAGAGAGUAACGAUGUUUUACCUCUCUCUAAUGUGUCACAGGUUUUCAGUCAUUCAUUCACUGAGUAUUUCAGGACCUCUUACUGUAUGCUGUGCUGUUAGGAUGGUGGUGACCAAAACAAACUCAUCUUGGGUUACAUGGAACAAAACCUGUCACACAUCCUAGAAAGACAGACAGAGCAAGGGUUGAUACCCACUGGCUCAGUCUCAUCAGUUCCUCUUUUUCAUUGUUAUGCUUGGAACAGAGGUUCACAGGAGCCUCUUAUGAAAGGGGCUGCUUACUGGAAGGACACACAAGAGUUUUGAGGGAUUUCCAAGAACAGCAACAGGCAUGGGUCAGGCUUCCUAGGAUCUGUAAUUGGAAGCAUGGCAGCCAUAAAUCUCCAUUGGCUUAUUUUGCUUAUUUUACACCAGGUGUCAGCCACAUCUAGGACUCAGCCACUCUCUGUUGCUCUGCUCUGCUCACCUUUUGUUGGGAUACAUCGAUUACAGAAAGGCAGUAGAAGGUAGCUGGUCAACAAGCAGACUCUGGAGCCCAAAAGCCCAGGUUUACAUGCCAGCUCUGCUACUUAUUAGCUGUGUGACAGCGAAGAUAUUCAUUAACUUUUCUGUAUCUUAGUUUCCUCAUCUGGAAAGUGGGUAUAUUAAUAGAACCUACCUCAUAAAAUUGUUGAAGAAUUCACUGACAUACAUCAUAUAAAGCACUUGGUAUGGUACUUCUAAAGCAGUAGAAGUUGUGAUAAUAAACAGUGACAUAGGAUUUAGUGAAGUGCCUACACUAAUUUUUCCAUGUAUUAAUUUAUGUAAUCCUCACAACAACCCUAUGAUGAAAAUAAUACUAAGCCUCAUUUUACUGACAACAAACCAGAGCCUUAGAAAAGUUAAAUAAAUUGCUGAAGAUCACACUGCUUACAAGUAUCCACACCUAUUUCACUCCAAAACCUGGGGUCAUAAUGACUUGCUAAUAACAUAAUAACUGGCUUAGUCUUAUUCCUGAAUCUGCAAUUUUUUUUCCUAACCUCAAUGUUGCUUCAUUGAAGGGCUCCUAACUCCCACUUAUCAUGACCUCUCUUGGCCCCAGUUCUACUCCAGGGCUCUCCUCUAUGUUUCUAAGUCCAAAUCCCAGUCCAUCUUUUCAUGGCAAAUCCCUCAAAGUUUGCUAAACUACCUCUGUCAGUGUCUACACUGGUCCAGUCUGCUAUGACUAUAGUAUGUGUUUCAAACAAGACCAAAUAGAAGAGGCUAUGUACAUGGCAGACAGUAUGACUGACAUUUGUAAUGUACUCAUUCUAUGGAUACCACAAUAGAGGCUUUUAAAAGUCUGGUAGCUAAUCCAGAGUUAUUCUCUCAACUGUCACCAGGGGUAGGAUUCCAAUCUGGGAUUUUUGACUCCAUGACCGUGAACCUUUCAUGUUUUCUCUGGGAUGUUUUUCUCUGUGUAUGUAAAGGCCUAAUUCUCAAUGACUUGGAGCCAUCACUCUACUCAAAAGUAACUAAAGCCAAAAUUAAAUUAAACUAC